AAGCUAACUCCGCCUAUGUUGGGGUAUCCUUGACGUAGCCGGUCCCAAGCCCGGACAAAGGAGGAGGGUUGU
ncrna:unclassified sequences type-P1 twister ribozyme